AUUGAACGCUGGCGGCAGGCCUAACACAUGCAAGUCGAGCGGAUGAGAGGAGCUUGCUUCUCGAUUCAGCGGCGGACGGGUGAGUAAUGCCUAGGAAUCUGCCUGGUAGUGGGGGACAACGUUUCGAAAGGAACGCUAAUACCGCAUACGUCCUACGGGAGAAAGCAGGAGACCUUCGGGCCUUGCGCUAUCAGAUGAGCCUAGGUCGGAUUAGCUAGUUGGUGAGGUAAUGGCUCACCAAGGCGACGAUCCGUAACUGGUCUGAGAGGAUGAUCAGUCACACUGGAACUGAGACACGGUCCAGACUCCUACGGGAGGCAGCAGUGGGGAAUAUUGGACAAUGGGCGAAAGCCUGAUCCAGCCAUGCCGCGUGUGUGAAGAAGGUCUUCGGAUUGUAAAGCACUUUAAGUUGGGAGGAAGGGUUGUAGAUUAAUACUCUGCAAUUUUGACGUUACCGACAGAAUAAGCACCGGCUAACUCAGUGCCAGCCGCCGCGGUAACAC
rnacentral:rRNA from 1 species